UGGUGAUGGUGAUUGAAUCGGUGCUGAGGAAAGUUUACCUACAAAAUACUCCCUGAAACUAACUCUCAAGCUUAUACAAACUAACUCUCAUUAGAGAUUUUAUUUAUGUCCAAGGAGACCUGCCAAAAUUGCUGCUAUUUCAGUACAAGCAGAACUUCCAGGCCCCAUGCUCUCAAAUCUUCUCUUUCUCUUUUCCUCUUGUCACUAGCCAAUGAAGAAGGAAAAUGGCAUAUAACCUUACCUCUGGUUCGUAGAGUUUGGUUUGCGUUUACCAGCACAAUCGCUUUCAAUCUGUUCCUGAUGUGGGACGGAAGUGAGGAAGGAUCAAAUAGUUUAAGAAAACCACUUGGUGUAUGAUGCUCAAAGAUUUUAUAAGUCGGAAAAUAUUUAAAGUUUAACAAUCAACUGAAUAUGAAAAGUGGCUAUCUUAUGAUCUCUCAAGCGACCGUAGCAAGGAAGUAUAUUAAAUGAACAAAUAAAAUGGAAAGACAAGAAGAUAUACUUAAACCUUAAAAAUAAAUAUUGACCGUUGACUUUGUUGACUGUUGACCGUGACCGUGUAGACUAGGCCGUCAGCUGCAGCGGCUCGCAGCUAAGGACAGACCUGACUUGGACCGGGUGGCUGGGUGGCUCUCGCCAGACGGUUUGGGCCGUGGCCGGCUCAACAGGGACAGUGGAGGUGGGCCGGCUGAAGUAAGCUAGGGCACACCAGACCCACGAAUGAAGUAACCCUAGUUUUAGAUAUGGCGAUAUCCAGCGGCGGGGAAGCGGGAAACGGGAGGGGCGACGACGGAGAGAGGUGAGGGCGGAGGUCGGCAGCGGGAAGCGGUAUGAUGACCGUGAGGCGGUGGUCGACAGCGGUGACGGCGGUGGUGGGCAACGAAGAGGGGACGACAGCGAACGGUGAUGGCUGCUGGAGGGGACCGCCGGCGGUGGAGAGGGCGAUGGACGGGCAGCGGCGGCGGAAGGGAAGGUGAAGGCUGGCGUCGAUGGCAAGUGAUGGGUGUACAGGCAGUACAGGCGGUGGUGGCUGGCGGCGAUAGAAGAAAGGGAAGGGAGGGGGAAGGGUGCUCCAGACGGGGAGUAGCGGGGUCCUCCGACCAACCCAAGCCGAGGCGACGGGAUCUUGCGAUCAGGUAAGGUAAGGAACUAAUCCUCAAAACUCCAUUUGUAAUCUCCUCCUGAAUCAAAGGUCUGAAGGCCGAUUUAUAGGCCUCUCUGCAGUAAAAUCUUAGUAAGUAAAUGAUGAAGGAAACCUUCUAUUGCCAGACAUUUGCUUUGGUGGCGUCACCCGGCGCGUAGCUGGAUCAAGGGCGUCGCCCACACCUUCUAUGCUGGUUAUUUCCCCAAUUUGGUUCAAAUCAUCUUCUUGAUCAGGAGAUGGUUGGGGCUUGCUGCAUCAGUUCCAAACACCUGCGCGCCUUAGACUUGGAUCGGAAGCCAUCUCAGCCCAUAAAAAAGUACGGGUUAACGCUGGGAGAGGGAAAGCCGAUACCUUAACCACUUUCAUCCUUUCCAAUGAAUAUAACGGUUUGAAAUGUCCUGGGCUUGAACGAUACCGUGAAGCAAGUUGAUACGGAGAAAUAAAUUAGGAAUCAUAAACCGCAGAUUUCUGUUUUAGUAGCAG
rnacentral:lncRNA from 1 species